AUACUUACCUGGCAGGGGAGACACCAUGAUCACGAAGGUGGUUUUCCACGGCGAGGCUCACCCAUUGCACUCUGGAUGUGCUGACCCUGCGAUUUCCCCAAAUGCGGAAACUCGACUGCGUAAUUUGUGGUAGUGGGGGCCUGCGUUCACGCUCUCCCCUA
rnacentral:snRNA from 1 species